UUUCUUUUGAAGGCGCACAUUCGUUCUUUAUUGGUUGAAUUAGGUUGGAAAUAGGCAACGGAUUAUGUAUGUCGAGGAUGUCCUUUCUCUACUUCUUUCAUAUAUAAGUUGUUUGCAAUUAUUUUCUUAACAGAAUAGUGUCUAUUAUUUUAUAAAUUUAUAUCACACUAACAAAUCUAUUGACUAGGUGUGGUGACGCUAACAUGGUAGAGGUUCCAGUUGAAAUUGAAACACCAGAUCACCACUAUUACCAUGUUGCAUUUUUUACAUCAAGGGAAGUUACUGCUGAUGAAGAAUUAACUUGGGACUAUGGCAUAGACUUUGGUGAUACUAAUCAUCCUAUCAAAGCAUUCAAGUGUUGUUGUGGCAGCAAAUUAUGCAGACAGUAUAAGAAACGAAAGAGAACCAGAUCCAGCUCUUAAAAUUCACAGUUGACCCCUGGAA